CUCCCGCUCAUGCGGAGGCGAACCACUAUACAUCUUGUGUCAAUCUCUCUCUCUCUCUCUCUCUCUCUCUUUAUUUAUAGCUAACUAGAGAUCUCGCUCAAUCUCUAACGUUAACAUCUUGGGUUCUGGAUAGCCAGUGAUUGGGGCCUCUUUAUUGGCCUCCUUAUGGCUUGGAAUUAUGGGUUCAGGUUGCUUGAAAUGAAUAUAGACUCUGUCAAGUUUUUCCUCAAUCCUAUUGACUCUUGUGAUCCUCCUUUACAUCUUGGUUUCAGUUUGCAAAGAGUUUUAGAAAAAUACCGUUUAUCGUGGAUGUUGUUUUGGCUACCAAUUUCAAUUUGCAAUUGAUUUGUUAUGCUUUUCUCUAGCCUCCUAGAGAGUUAGGCUGUUUAAUUCCAAAAGCAAAAUUUCUAUUAUUGUCGCAAGUAUUCAUGACAUACUGAGAGGUUAAGAGUUGAUUAUUACACUAUUUGUUUCAAUUUUUUUAGGAAAAUCGAUCAGAAUUAUUUCACAGGUCAUGGAUCGGCAAUAUGACUGCAUUGACAUUAUUGUCAAUUGCUCACAAUGCAUUCUAUGGGCCUAUCCCCAAGGAGCUUGGAAACCUCAAGGACUUAAAUAUGCUGUCCUUUGGAAUAAAUAACUUCUCCGGAACACUCCCUCCCGAACUUGGUAAUUUGGUCAAGCUUCAACAACUCUAAAGUAAGGCGGAUUUACGAUAUUGCAAAUGUUUCGUCCUCCAUGAAUCUGAUUGAAAAGACCCACGCAGCAGAUACAAGGAAGCCUGCAUAUAAAUGGUUGGGAUUGAGAGGGAAAGAUGCUACAUGGGAGCAUAGUACGUAAGGUUGAUAGGAACAAUUCAGAGGACUCAAAAGAAAAUACAAAGAGCUACCAGUUUGGCUCUUUUGCCCCAGUUACUAUUGCCAGAGCUGGGAAUUUCAACAUGAAGAAAGGUUGACUGGGACAAUUUGUCCUCUACGUACUUACCGUCCCUAGUAUCAGAAUCAAGGUAUCAUCAUCUUAUGUUUCAGCCUGAUGUGCAGGUAUAUGAUAAGACAUACAAGGCUUAUAUAUAUGGACGCAAGAAAAAGUGAAACUAUUACUAAGCUAUCUUGGUUUGUAGAUUACUUGAUUAAUUGAAGAGCAAUGCUCUCUUCAGUACUUGCCUUACAAUUUCAAACAUUCUUUCUUGUUCAGUGUAGAUUAUUUUUUUACAAAAAGGGUUCUCAAUUUAGUCACUGUU